rnacentral:rRNA from 1 species
CCUGGCUCAGAUUGAACGCUGGCGGCAGGCUUAACACAUGCAAGUCGAAACGGUAGCAGGUAAGUACUUGUACUUAUGCUGACGAGUGGCGGACGGGUGAGUAAUGCUUGGGGAUCUGGCUUAUGGAGGGGGAUACGACGGGAAACCUGUCGCUAAUACCGCGUAGAAUCGAGAGAUGAAAGUGUGGGACCUUCGGGCCACAUGCCAUAGGGUGAACCCAAGUGGGAUUAGGUAGUUGGUAGGGUAAUGGCCUACCAAGUCCGACGAUCCCUAGCUGGUCUGAGAGGAUGACCAGCCACACCGGGACUGAGACACGGCCCGGACUCCUACGG